UGACAUUCCUUGUUGCCCUGAAUGGGCCCGAUCUCCUCUGAUCUCGGAAGCUAAGCAGGGUCGGGCCUGGUUAGCACUUGGAUGGGAGAAACGUUGAGGCAGGCUAGAGUGCAAU
ensembl:rRNA Gm26197 predicted gene, 26197